CCUACGAGAGGCAGCAGUGGGGAAUAUUGGGCAAUGGGCGCAAGCCUGACCCAGCAACGCCGCGUGAAGGUAGAUGGCUUUUGGGUUGUAAACUUCUUUUGUCAGGGACGAAGCAAGUGCAGGUACCUGACGAAUAAGCUACGGCUAACCAGGUGCCAGCCGCCGUGUGAAAACGUAGGUGGAAAGCGUUAUCCGGAUUUACUGGGUGUAAAGGGUGUUUAGGCGGGACUGCAAGUAAGAUGUGAAAACCAUGGGCUCAACGUGUGACCUGCAAUUGAAACUGUAGUUCUGGAGUACUGGUGAGGCAGAAGGAAUGCCUAGUGUAGCGGUGAAAUGCGUAGAUAUUA
rnacentral:rRNA from 1 species